UCUCAAUUUUCAAUUCUUUAAGUGCUUUUACCAGCAGCGUAUUUAGAUAACUAUUUAGUACUAUAAAUUAUUAAGGUAAAGGUAAAACAUUCAAAAGGUACGAGAAUGAGGCUUAGAGAAAAGAUAAAACAAGGGGAUUUUUUUGUUAAGAAAUUGAAAUAAUUAAUUUAAUUUAUUAUAAUUAUGAUUGAAAAGGGAUAAAAGAUAGCAUAUUAAUUUAAUGAAAUGGAAAUACCGUCCAAUUUCGAAAUAUAGACUAAAGUCUGCCAACUGAGGUUUGAGCUAAUCUUAGAAUAAAUUAUAAGUACUAAGUUUUGGAAUAUAAAAUAGGUAAAUUAUUAUGUGUUCAUGUGGUGUAUGUUAUACUAUAUCAUUAUUGUUUUCUUGGUACAUGGGAAUGAAAAAAGAUAUCAUUGUUGUUUUGAUGUUACUAUUAUUAUUUAAACAUUUAAUUUUCAUCAAUUCCUCUUUAUUUAUAGUGCCCUAACACUUUAAAUGUCAUCAAAGCAACUGUCAAUUAUAUUACAAAUAUCCCCACUCUUAAAGUUUCAUAUGUUUUUUUUUAUUUUGUAAAUAUUUAUUAGUUCCUAAAAGUAUUAGUUAAAAAGAUAAGUGCAGUUUUUAAUUGAAAAACGAAAUAUAAUUAUUAUAUUAGGGAUACAAUAACAUGUCGUCCCUUUGUUCUAUUAUACAGCAAUUUUUUGUCGAGAAAGUUGCAUCUGAAUUUUAACCCAAAAGUUGCAUUCCGUGUCCGUUUUGUAUCGUUGUUUCGGCGAUGAUUGAUGACUUUCGUAUUUAUCAUCAAUUACAAUAAUCAUAAUAAAUGUAUAAAAAGCAAAAAACAUUUUUGCAAUGUGAACGGUCCCGUAUGACCUCAUAUUCUCAGACAUGGGUCCCUAUGGGCUAUCGUUUUAUAAAGGGGCGGCUAACAACCAAGCCACCUUGAUCAGUGCCUAAAACAAUUUAUAAGCAAAAUAAAUAAAUAAAUGUUAAAUGCUCCAAGAUUCCAAUUUGGCAAUUUUAAAUGGUCGACUUAUACUUUUAAGUAACAGUUGCCGCCAUCACCAAGCAAAUCGUGCCAUAAAAAAAAGAUGAGAGUGGGAUCAAUUUGCAGAGUAAAUAAUGACGUAAAGAAAGACUUCCAUUAUCCUCGUUCAAUCCUUCAUCAUUAUGGUUAUUGUCUCCCACUCCAAUUCUCUGACAUGUCAUCAUAAGUAUAUUUGAUGGGCAGGUUAAAUUAAAAAAAUAAUUUUUAAUUUAUCUCCGAGACUUUUUUCCGUGUCCGAUUUAAAUUAAAAAAAUAAUUUUUUUAAAAAAAAUAUUAAAAAAUUGAUUUUAGAAUAAAUAAAUUAAUUGUUAAAUAUUUAUUUUUAAAUAUGUUAAUAAAUUUAUUAUAGCACAUGUGUCUACAAAAAUCAUUAAGAAAAUAAUAUUAAAUUAUAUAAAAAUUCUAAAAUAAAAUUAACAAAUAAUAAAAAUUCUAGAUUUUUUAUUAAAUUAUUCAAAAAUUUUAGUGGCAGGACAUGUCCGGAUUGAGGGUCGGAAAGCAUGUAGUAAUUUCGUAUAUGUACUCGAUUUUUUGAUUAUUGGAAAAAUUUAAACUCAAAUCCGAAUCAACUUAAGGAUUAUCCGUUAAAGUCGGAACGUGUUAAAAUGCGUAUUCAUGGAUACAAAUUUUGUUGCCAUGUCUAAGAUGGCGUUUGUUAAUGGACAAAUAUCUAUGACGCAACAAUUUGUCUUCACUCUCCACCAGCAUUAGUUGACCGGUAAAUGAAACCCUCAUAAAUCAUUUUUAAAUACUCAUGUAUCAUUUUAUUUGUUAUUUUCUUUGGAAAAAUACUAUAUGGGAUGAUUCUGUAAAACUCUAUUACACUUUUUUUUUCACAACGAGUUUUAUGAUUAAUUAUUUGAUUUUUAUAAUAAUCAUUUUAAAAAUUAUAUUUAUUAUGCUUUUUAAUUAGUUGACAGUUUAGACCGAGAGUGCAUUCAAAUUAAGCUCAUCUUCUUUCUCUUUAACGGGAUGUUAAAGAAAGAGAUGAUUUUUUAUACUAGGAUUUAGAAAUAAAUAUAUAAAACUGCAAAAUAAAAUAAGAUUUAGAUAACACAUAAAAAAUAUUCACGUGAAAAAUAUUAUAUCUGAAACAUGUCUUUGUGACUUGGGUGGGUUAGAUCCAACUUUUAUUACCAUAGUUGUUUUAGAUCACAUAAUUAUCACAGCAGAAUAGGAUAUCCCCUUCACAUCAAAUCUCUAUUAUUAUGCCGAAGUCGGGAGCAAGAAAACAAGACUCGAGCCUUGGCGUAGUGGGCACUCUUGACUCACCUUGUCAAAUUGAACAAAAAGAGUUGGCUUAAUUUUGAAAAUGACCUUUUCACGUGUGCAGAGAAAAGAGUUUCAUUUUCACAAUUCACGCCAAAGGACCGUAACUUUAAGUCGUACCAUACCAUGUAUUUUUAAUGCCCAUUGCUCCGGUGGUCCACUACUAUUAUUUCAGCCCUCAGAUCAAUCAAGGUGCAAAUUUUUAUUAUACACCCUCCCAUAUUAUAACUUUUCCCAUCUUAUCUUCUCAGUAAUCCUCUCCCUCUUCUACCACCUCCAUGAUGCCUCCGCCGCUCUUUGCCGUGCGUGGAAAUUACCGGCGGCGGAGACGUUUUUUUCCUCUUUUAAUUUCUUGUCAUCUCCUUCAGAUUCAUCACUUCCGCUUCACAACAUUGACCAUGAGCUCUUCCUGUAACUGCGGGCUCUUAGCCUUCAACCACUCUGAAAUCGCGCCGUUGACGAUGACAUUAGCGACGUCAUCGACACCAUCAUCUUGACCGUUCGCAACGAGAUCCUAGUGAUUGCCGAUCUUGGCCUCCUGCGACUCCGAAUCGGCACCUCCAGCGACACGGCUACGGCAAGUGAGUUAUCAGCAACAACACCGGGGUGUAAAAAAUCAAAAACUUUUUCUACAAUUUUGUUCUUGCGUUCAUAAAAGUGAAACCUUAUUUUUUUGGACGCAAGUUUUUUCCGAUGGAUCUGCAUUUUUUUCAACAAGGUUCUGUACAAUGAAGGGAGAAUAAUGUCCUCCGCCGUCUCCUGCCUCAGUUUUGUUCGUUGCCGCAGCGAGGGAGACACAUGUGAAUUUGAAUCCCUAAUUUACGGUUCAAAUGUUUGAUACGCUCCGUUUCUGCUUGAUGCCAUACCAUGCUUUUCAAAUUCCUGAUUUGCAUUGAUGUGGCGAGAUAAGAAAGAGGAAGGAAAAAUACGAUGCACCGUAAUGGGAGAUAGAAAGUGAAGGUGCGAGCGGUGGCUUGGAGGUUCCAUCGGAGGUUGCGGGAGAGGGAGAGUACGGAUGAGAAGCAGGAGAAAAAAGUGGUGGCGGCACCCGGCACAUAGCGGCGGAGGCACCAUGGAGGUUGCAGGAAGAGAGGGAGAGGAUUACAGAGAAGAUGAAGAAGGGGAAAGUUAUAAUAUGGGAGAGUGUAUAAUAAAACUUUGCACCUUAAUUGAUCUGACAGCUGAAAAUAAACGGUGUAUAGUGGAUCACCUAUGGAGUGGUCCAUCGGAGCAAUGGCCAUUUUUAAUUAGAUGAUUACCACUUUAUGGGUCAA